CCUUCGUAACAAGGAGUCAGAGUUCUGCCCUCAGCACGUCCAGGAGCGGCCAGUCGCAGAGUGCGAGCCGAACCAGGGGCCGAGCCGCAGCGUCAAAAAUAAAGACUGAUAUUAUUUUUGUA